AUGCAAUAAAAAUGUAUAUCUGGGGCUCGCUUUGGAAGCUUACAGAGAAGAUUAGCAUGCCCCCUGCACAAGGAUGACACACAAAUUCAUGAAGCGUUCCACAUUUAA
rnacentral:snRNA from 1 species